UCAAAAACAGUUUAAUAGAAAACACUAACUUUGGAAGUUAGAGGAUGGGGUAACUCAUUUUUGAA
rnacentral:tRNA from 1 species